AUUUGAUGGGAGACUUGGCCAGUGAGAAGGAGGCAGCCACACAUGGAUCCAUGGGGAAAAUUGCUCUGCAAAGAAAAGGGGAAUGAUCAUAAAUUAAAGCAGCUUACAGGAUAGGAGUGCGUUGUAUGUUUCUUCUUCUCCAAGGCACAACCCGAUCUCCCAGAGAAGGAGAAGUGCCUGGCGUGGACUAUAACUUUCUGACUGUGAAGGAGUUCUUGGACCUCGAGCAGAGCGGGACUCUUCUGGAAGUCGGCACCUAUGAAGGAAACUAUUAUGGGACACCCAAGCCUCCUAGCCAGCCAGUCAGUGGGAAAGUGAUCACGACGGAUGCCUUGCACAGCCUUCAGUCUGGCUCUAAGCAGUCGACCCCGAAGCGAACCAAGUCCUACAAUGAUAUGCAAAAUGCUGGCAUAGUCCAUGCGGAGAAUGAGGAGGAGGAUGACGUUCCUGAAAUGAACAGCAGCUUUACAGCCGAUUCUGGUGAACAAGACGAGCACACUCUCCAAGAAACAGCAUUACCACCUGUGAAUAGUAGCAUCAUCGCUGCUCCCAUCACGGACCCUUCUCAGAAGUUCCCUCAAUACCUACC
rnacentral:sRNA from 1 species